rnacentral:rRNA from 1 species
AGAGUUUGAUCAUGGCUCAGGAUGAACGCUAGCUACAGGCUUAACACAUGCAAGUCGGAGGGGCAGCAUGGUCUUAGCUUGCUAAGGCUGAUGGCGACCGGCGCACGGGUGAGUAACACGUAUCCAACCUGCCGUCUACUCUUGGCCAGCCUUCUGAAAGGAAGAUUAAUCCAGGAUGGGAUCAUGAGUUCACAUGUCCGCAUGAUUAAAGGUAUUUUCCGGUAGACGAUGGGGAUGCGUUCCAUUAGAUAGUAGGCGGGGUAACGGCCCACCUAGUCAACGAUGGAGUAGGGGUUCUGAGAGGAAGGUCCCCCACAUUGGAACUGAGACACGGUCCAAACUCCUACGGGAGGCAGCA